ACAGAGGAUUAAAUUGGUGGCCGCCCCUCUUCUCUCUCUUUUGCUGUGCUAUCUGAGGAAACGCGAAAAGGUGAAAACCCGUUGCCGGUGCUAGGGUUUGUCUCCGAUAUCGGAGCAGAUAUGGAUGUGUUUGAUAUCAGCUCAAUUGUCGAAGUUGAUGAGAUAAAUGACCAGAAUUUGGUGGAGAAAGACGUGAGCGAUGAGGAGAUUGAACCGGAAGAUUUGGAGAAACGAAUGUGGAAGGAUCGUAUCAAACUUAAGAGGAUUAAGGAGAAACAGAAGCUUGCUGCAAAACAGGCAUUGGCAGACCAGCAGAUGGCUAAAUCUUCUUCUUCAGAUCAAGCUCAACGUAAGAAGAUGUCAAGAGCACAAGAUGGUAUACUGAAGUACAUGUUGAAACUGAUGGAAGUAUGCAAAGCACGCGGUUUUGUCUAUGGGAUAAUCCCCGAGAAGGGGAAGCCGGUUAGCGGUUCUUCUGACAAUAUAAGAGCUUGGUGGAAAGAAAAGGUGAAGUUUGAUAAGAAUGGUCCUGCUGCAAUUUCCAACUACGAAGCAGAAUCUCAAGCAAAAGCCAAACAAGAUAACAUUCUGAAAAGAGGAAACUCUCAAACUGUUCUUCAGGAUUUACAGGACGCAACAUUAGGUUCUCUGUUGUCUUCGUUAAUGCAACAUUGCAAUCCACCGCAAAGGAAAUACCCGUUAGAGAAGCUUACUCCCCCACCAUGGUGGCCAUCCGGCGAUGAGGAUUGGUGGCCUAAACUCGGCUUACCCAAAGGUCAACCUCCUCCUUACAGGAAACCACAUGAUUUGAAAAAGAUGUGGAAAGUUGGGGUCUUAACUGCAGUUAUAAAGCACAUGUCACCCAAUUUUACAAAGAUUAGAAGACUUAUCCGUCAGUCUAAGUGCUUACAAGAUAAAAUGACUGCCAAGGAGAGCUCCAUCUGGUUAGAAGUUUUGAGCCGAGAGGAAUCCCUAAUUCAGCAACCUAGUAGCGAUAAUGGGAACUCGAGCUUAACUGACAUUCCCUCUAACAAGAAGAGGCCCGCUAUCAGUAGUGAUAGCGAUUAUGAUGUUGAUUUGGUGGAUAAUGGGUUUGGCUCGGUUUCAUCUAAGAAAAGAGCUCGUGGUAAUAAACAGGUUUCUUCUAGUGAACCAAGAAACAAAACUCGGCCCGACAAAAAGCUAACGGAGGAAACACCUUAUUUACCAAUUAACCAGGAAAAGAAUGAUCUCGUUGAACCGCCCCAACAAGAUGUUGGCCAUAUCUCUAGCCUUCCUCCAACCAACAUUGGACUCUAUCACAGUCAAAAUAGUCAAAAUGGGAAUCUGCAUUAUGAACCAGAACCACCUAAUUUGAGUUUGCAUAAUAGAGCUCAAGAUUAUGGAUGGAAUCAAGAACAUCAGAAUCCAACAACAUGGUUUAGUGGAUCGGAUACUUAUGGUUUGUCUAAUGUACCAUCAAGUAGUUAUGGGCCUGUUCUUGGUGCAGAGUACUCGAAGAUGACACACAAUGAGCCGUGGAUUGAGGCAGAAAGCAGCAAUGGAAAUGGAAAUGGAAAUGGAAAUGGAAAUGGAAAUGGAAAUGGAAAUGGAAAUGGAAAUGGAAGUGGAAGUGGAAAUGAAAAUGGAAAUGGAAAUGGAAGUGAAAAUGGAAAUGGAAGUGGAAAUGAAAAUGGAAGUGGAAAUGGAAAUGGAAGUGGAAAUGGUAUUGGGGGAGAACAGAGUAGGAAUGUUGUUGAGCAAGAUAAAUCUGUUGGAAACAUUAAUGUUGGUUCUCCCUUUAAUAGUUUGUCACUGGAGUUUGGAGGAUUCAACAGUCCGUUUGAUUUUGGAUUUGAUGGGACCGAGGACAUAGACUUUUUUCUGGAUGAUGAUCUCAUUCAGUACUUUGGAGCAUAGUUAGUUGUUGGUUAGUCAGGUCAGUGCAGGCAAUGUGAUGUAUGUAUAUAAUUCUUUCUACCAAAUCCCAAUUGGACUUGGACUUGGACUUGGACUGGCCUUCACCUGCAUCAGCAUGAGCAGUUGGUUGAAUCAAUCAUCAUCUUGUAUCCAAUAACUACCCCCAAGAAGAAGAAGGAAUGAGAACGAAAGCUGAAGCAGCAUUAUUCCCCCUUCUUCAUAAGAAUGUUGUUGAUCAUGAUGACGAUGGAGGAGGAGGAGCUUGGACUGGAUCCGAACCCAGGAGGAGAAGGAGAUCAACCAGGCAAGUUCCUACUGGACCCGACCCACUUCACCAUAACCACCAUCCUUCUUCUACUCUUCCUUGAAUGUAGUAAACUUAUAAUCGACCCCAACUCUCUCUAUCUGUUCAUUUUUUUAGCUUUUCCAUUUGUUGCCAAAUAGUAAGAAUUUGAAUGCAUUGUUUCUUUAUUUUAUAUAUAUAUAUAUUUGAGAAAUUUUAUCAAAA